ACGGGAGGCAGCAGUGGGGAAUAUUGCACAAUGGGCGAAAGCCUGAUGCAGCGACGCCGCGUGAAGGAUGAAGUAUUUCGGUAUGUAAACUUCUAUCAGCAGGGAAGAAAAUGACGGUACCUGACUAAGAAGCCCCGGCUAACUACGUGCCAGCAGCCGCGGUAAUACGUAUGGUGCAAGCGUUAUCCGGAUUUACUGGGUGUAAAGGGAGCGUAGACGGCAUGGCAAGCCAGAUGUGAAAGGCAGGGGCUCAACUCCUGGACUGCAUUUGGAACUGUCAAGCUAGAGUAUCGGAGAGGUAAGUGGAAUUCCUAGUGUAGCGGUGAAAUGCGUAGAUAUUAGGAGGAACACCAGUGGCGAAGGCGGCUUGCUGGACGAUAACUGACGUUGAGGCUCGAAAGCGUGGGGAGCAAACAGGAUUAGAUACCCUGGUA
rnacentral:rRNA from 1 species